UGGGGAAUAUUGGACAAUGGGGGAAACCCUGAUCCAGCCAUGCCGCGUGAGUGAUGAAGGCCUUAGGGUUGUAAAGCUCUUUCGCUGGGGAAGGUAAUGACGGUACCCAGUAAAGAAGCCCCGGCUAACUUCGUGCCAGCAGCCGCGGUAAUACGAAGGGGGCUAGCGUUGUUCGGAAUUACUGGGCGUAAAGCGCACGUAGGCGGGUCGUUAAGUCAGGGGUGAAAUCCCGGAGCUCAACUCCGGAACUGCCCUUGAUACUGGCGAUCUUGAGUUCGAGAGAGGUGAGUGGAAUUCCGAGUGUAGAGGUGAAAUUCGUAGAUAUUGGGAAGAACACCAGUGGCGAAGGCGCUCUACUGGGCCGUAACUGACGCUGAGGGACGAAAGCUAGGGGAGCGAAAGGGAUUAGAUACCCCCGUAGUCC
rnacentral:rRNA from 1 species